GGGGAGCGAACGGGAUUAGAUACCCCGGUAGUCCUAGCCGUAAACGAUGUGGACUUGGCGUCGGUGGGUUCAAAUCCGCCCGGUGCCGCAGCUAACGCGCUAAAGUCCACCGCCUGGGGACUACGGCCCGCAAGGGUUAAAACUCAAAGGAAUUGGCGGGGGCCCGCACAAGCAGCGGAGCGUGUGGUUUAAUUCGAUGCUACACGAAGAACCUUUACCCGGGUUUGACAUGCAGGUAGUAGGGAACUGAAAGGGGACCGACCCUUCGGGGAGCCUGCACAGGUGCUGCAUGGCUGUCGUCAGCUCGUGUCGUGAGAUGUCCGGUUAAGUCCGGUAACGAGCGCAACCCCUGCUGGAUGUUACAAGUGUCAUCCAGGACUGCCGGUUUAGUGCCGGAGGAAGGCGGGGAUGACGUCAAGUCAGCAUGGCCUUUAUAUCCGGGGCUACACACACGCUACAAUGGCCAGUACAAUGGGUCGCAAAGCCGCAAGGUAGAGCCAAUCCCCAAAACUGGUCUCAGUUCAGAUUGCAGGCUGCAACUCGCCUGCAUGAAGUCGGAGUUGCUAGUAACCGCGCGUCAGCUAUAGUGCGGUGAAUACGUUCCCGGGCCUUGCACACACCGCCCGUCACGUCAUGGGAGCUGGCAACACCUGAAGCCGGUAUCCGAACCGUAAGGAAGGAGCCGUCGAAGGUGGGGCUGGUGACUGGGACGAAGUCGUAACAAGGUAGGUGUACCGGAAGGUGCGGCUGGAUCACCUCCUU
rnacentral:rRNA from 1 species